CCCACUGAGGGGAGGGAAGCGGGGUGCUGGCUUGGGACUGCCUGGAAGGGAUUUUGGAGUCUGCUUUGGAGAUGGGGAUGUCUAAGAAGUGUCUCGUUAGGCCACCUAAAGGGAAAGUGUCUCUUUUGAUCUCAGUGCUGAGGUGCGCAGGGCAGAGCAGUUCCGGUGUGUGUCGUGUCACUUGUCUCUUGUGCAUUCUGUGUUGUUUGGGUCUGUCACGUCGCUUGUCUUUUUUUACCUUAGCUGUCUGAGGGUCAUCUUGGCAUCUGUGAUCUUUGCGUUCCUUGGACCAGCCCCAGCGCCACAGGCCUUUUGACUCGGGAGUCCCGACAGGCAUCGCAGUCGUAUCUGUCUUUAGAAGCAUCCGGUCAGAUGUCUUUUAAGGUCUCGUUCCGAGCGGUAGCGACAGCCGCGCACCCCAACGAUCCAUUAUAGCGGCUUAGGACUCGUGAGAAUGCCAAGCUAGGUAGCUCAUUCUUACCGUAGGCUUUUCAGGCAUCCGCUUGUGCAGUUCUCGGAAGACAUCGUUUUCUUAGCAUCUUCUUCCUGCAGGGUUCUUUGAGCCUCAUCAGCUCCGAGCCGUCCGUCUCACCUAGGUCAUCUCGUUCCGCAAUCUCUCUGUCCUCGCGGGCAUUUUUCUUGCCAAGAGAUUUUUCUCCUCGUGGCGUCCCCUCGUUUGUCGUGUCCUGUCCUGUGUCACGGGUGUCUGCACAUAUUUGUCCCGGAGCUGCUCUGUCCUGCUGCAUAGCCUGGUGUAAUUGCACAAGUCCUGGAGACCUGCAAUUGGGAAUGGGGGAUGUAGUUGUAUUCUAGAUGAUACAGGAUCUAGAUCACACAGGAUCCUUGGACCUGUUAAGUUAUCCUACAGUUGUUUGAAUUUUCUCCUAACUUUCUUUCAGAUGCAGACAUUUAAGAUCUGUGGCAGAGCGCCCCUCCUGGGUCAGGGGGUUUUCCCUGAGAAGGAAGUCCAGGCAGAUAGCUGCAGUCAAGGCCAAGUGUGUCAGGCAGUCCUCUUGCGAGAUGUCUCUGAUCCCAGAUGUCUGAGGCCAGGUGUCAUUGCUGCCCUAGGCGUGUGAAGGAACAGAGUCAAGCGGGUAUCCUCCUGGCAGCCUGUUGAGUCGCGUCAAGAUUUCAGGUACCGUGAGGAGGCGCAUAGCUGAAGUUUGGAAACGGCAGCACCGAAGUGGAUGUAGAGAACGUGUCGCCGUCCACGUCCGGCUGACGAUGGAUUUUGUCCGGUCGUCUUGCAAAAGCUAAUUGUCGGGGCCAGUAGGUGGGAGAAGGGGAAAAACCUUUACUAUCACAGGAGACAAUUUGAUGUUAGCUUAGAGGAGAGGCCCAUAGUGGGACGGGCCCCUUGGAAGCAGAGGGAGAGGGUUUCUCCUCAGCCUCACCAGAGUCUUCGCCGGGCAGGGCAGUUCCGAUCCAUCUUCGCGUCCUCGUGAGGUUUGCGUCGGCGGCCUUCUUCGACUCUCGAUGUCGUCGUGGAUCUUUUCACCCGAGGAGCCCGCCUUCACGUCCAGAGCUAUAGCCACGGUCACGCCGUAGUCAUCGCUUUCUUGUCUAGGCCUACUGAGCUUCUUAGGCUUCCUCUUAAGUCCUUUGGCACUAACAUCUUGAAAGGAGUUAAAUUUCAUCAUCACAUGCUAUUGCCCUAGGGCUUUCUUUCCUUUGGCAUCAUCGGCCUAUGACUCAUCUUGGACUAGCAAUCUUGGGUCCAUAAGGUGGAACUGCCAGGCAGUUUCCACUCGUGUCCGUGUUAUGUCGUCCGUGUCAUGUCGUCCGUGUCCGUGUUAUGUCGUCCGUGUCCAUUGAUUUCUGCGUCAUAUGCCUUUGUUACAUCUCGAGGCUUUAUCGGCAUUGUUCUCUGCCGUAUCGGCCAUAUUUUACUCGUGUACCUUCCUGGAUAUCGCUUAUUCCAGCAUCGUUACAUUUUUACUUAUUGAGACGGGAAGAAGUACAGGAGACGUUCUCAUUCAUCUUCCUUCUUACCUUUGGUAGCGCCUUCUCUUCCCGUGCUAUUCUCUUGGACUUCUAGAGGGAGCGUAUUAGACCCUCAUCACCUGACCGCAGUAGUUCCGUAGCUUGCGCCUUCUCAAAGGGUAUAGGGCUCAACAAUUAAUCUUCCGGAGAGUUACGUCAAGUCCUCACUUAUAUUGUAUCUAUGUUGGCUUAUAUUGUACGUGCUUAGGUUGUACCUACCUAUGUUGGCUUAUACUGUAUGUGCUUAUAUUGUAUGUACUUAUGUCGUAUGUACCUAUGUCGGUUUAUAUUGUAUGUACUUAUACUCUAUGUACCUACACUGGCUUAUAUUGUGCAUAUAUUGUAUGUACCUACCUUGGCUUAUGUUGUACAUGCCUCUGUUAUGCCACUUACAAUCGGAGCUGCCCUGCCCAGGCACGUAGUCACGGUUAGGUAGAGCAGUUAUAAAACUUUACAGUUCAUCUGUCUUCUAUGGGGUUUUGGGUACAAAAUUUAUGGACCCGGAGCGGGAAUAGCUCCUAGCCGUCAGGUAGUCACUCGUCGACCGCCUCCCGUCAUCUCUGUCGUCUCGCAGGUCCCCGGGUCCCUACACGUUAUCCCGGAAUCUACCGCUGGACAUCAAAGAGCCGCGGUCAGAAGAUGCGUCAAAGCGUCAGCGUAGCGUUUCAAGUAAGGGUCGCAGUCAGCGUGUAAGCGGAAGAGCGUGUGAGAGAGCGUGAUUGUCCGUGUCUGUCUGUGAGAGCUUGUGUCUGCAGGUGUGAGUGUGUGUUGACCGGUUCUAACCUUGUGCGUAUGGCCUUUGCCUUUCAGGUUUUUCAGCUCAUUUUUAAAUUUAGAAUAAAAAAUCCCCAGCCAGGGCUUUUUUUUUUUUCCCCCCCGGCUGGGUUUUUUUUCCUCUGUCCCGGCCAGUCCGCGAGGCGACGUUCAUCGCCAAAGUUUGAAGGCGGACCGUCCUGGGACCGGGGUUUUCGUCAGGCAGGAGGAUUUUUUUGGAGGCUCCCGGGAACCACGUUCCCGAGGAACAACGAUUGCCGGGGCGUAACGGAGCGGUUGAAACGAGAGCGACAGUGAGUUUGCGUGCAAUGUGAAGGAGGUGGUCACGGUGGAUGACUGUUGUUUUCUGUAUGCUAUUUUUGUUUUGGUCUUUCCUCUAACAAUCAAACAAAAUGUAAUGUAAAUAGAAAAAAGGUUAUAUUGUGUUAAUAUGCGUUUGGUUUCUAUUGCCCCGUAUUGUUCCGUGUUUGCAUUUGCCGCCGCAUUUCCACAUACGGCUCCGUACGUAAGUCGGAUUUCUACCGGUCAGCGUACGGAUUGUAUCUACGCUCCCAUUUGUAUACAUCGUUUCCAUGUGUUUUGCUGGAGUGUAAAUAAAAAAAAUUAUUCAUUAAAGUUGAAUCAACCCUAAUAAUGAUGCCCCCCGCUCCCUCCCCCUCCCCCUUUGGCUCCUGUGUUUUUUUGGUGUGGUUUAGUCAUUUUUAUUUUUCCCCACUGUAUUUCUUCCUUUGCUUCUUCUCUUAGUUUUCUUUCUGUCACGUCAUUUCUGUCCGUCCCUAACUUUGUUUCUGUUUCUCACUGUUUCUAACUCUCUCUCUCUCUGCUUCUCUAUUUCCCUGUAUGUCUUUUCUUCUGUUUCUCUGUUUCACUAUUUCUAUUUAUUUUUCUCUCUAGUUGAUGCUUUUACUCUUUAUUUCUUUUUCUCUCCAGCUUCUCUUCUUUUUUUUCUCUAUUCUUUUGUCCUCUUUUUCACUCUCACCCUCUUUCUUUUUCACUGUAACCCUUCUCAUUUUUUACUCUUUGCCAUUCUUUUCCUAUUUCUUUUCGUCUCUUAAGUAGUCUCUUAAGUAGUCUCUUAAGUAGUCUCUUAAGUCUGUCUUUUUCUUUCUUUCCAUCUUUUCAUUUCUAACUUUGUUUCCCUUUCUAGCUUUCAAAAAGCAGCAGUAGAAACUUUCAGGCUCCCUGGGAGUAAAACAAAAAACAAACUUUAAAUAAUUAUUAAAAAAAAAAGAAUUUACUCCCCGGGAGCCUGAAACUUUCUACUGCUGCACCGGACAUAUAGUUUUUCUUCUUUUUUAUAUAUACCUAUACAACCCCUAAUUAGUGCUCCACCUGCCACAUUACAAUACCCACUACCCACAUCACCCCCACCAUGUAGACACCGCCAUCUUGCUCCCCAUCACGUGACCCGAUGGACGCCACCAUCUUGCUCCCUGUCACAUGACCACACGGAUGCCGCCAUUUUGUAGA